AUGCUCACUUUAGCAGCACAUAUACUAAAAUUGGAACAAUACAGAGAAGAUUAUCGUGGUCCCUAUGCAAAGAUGACAUACAAAUUUGUGAAACAUUCCAUGUUUUU
ensembl:snRNA U6 U6 spliceosomal RNA